AGCCCUGGGGUGUCACAUGUUAGAUUGCAAAUCUAAAGAAGUAGGCUAGUCGCCUACCGGGGCUU
rnacentral:tRNA from 1 species